rnacentral:rRNA from 1 species
GUGGGGAAUCUUGCGCAAUGGGCGAAAGCCUGACGCAGCCAUGCCGCGUGAAUGAUGAAGGUCUUAGGAUUGUAAAAUUCUUUCACCGGGGACGAUAAUGACGGUACCCGGAGAAGAAGCUCCGGCUAACUUCGUGCCAGCAGCCGCGGUAAUACGAAGGGGGCUAGCGUUGCUCGGAAUUACUGGGCGUAAAGGGCGCGUAGGCGGACAGCUUAGUCAGAGGUGAAAGCCCAGGGCUCAACCUUGGAAUUGCCUUUGAUACUGGCUGUCUUGAGUGUGGGAGAGGUGAGUGGAACUCCGAGUGUAGAGGUGAAAUUCGUAGAUAUUCGGAAGAACACCAGUGGCGAAGGCGACUCACUGGCCCAAUACUGACGCUGAGGCGCGAAAGCGUGGGGAGCAAACAGGAUUAGAUACCCCAGUAGUCC